rnacentral:rRNA from 1 species
CCUACGGGAGGCUGCAGUGGGGAAUAUUGGGCAAUGGACGCAAGUCUGACCCAGCAACGCCGCGUGAAGGAAGAAGGCUUUCGGGUUGUAAACUUCUUUUAAGGGAGAAGAGCAGAAGACGGUACCCCUUGAAUAAGCCACGGCUAAAUACGUGCCAGCAGCCGCGGUAAUACGUAGGUGGCAAGCGUUGUCCGGAUUUACUGGGUGUAAAGGGCGUGCAGCCGGAGAGACAAGUCAGAUGUGAAAUCCACGGGCUGAACCGGUGAACUGAAUUUGAAACUGUUUGCCUUGAGUAUAGGGGAGGUAGUCGGAAUUCGUGGUGUAGCGGUGAAAUGCGUAGAUAUAAGGAAGAACACCAGUGGCGAAGGCGGAUUACUGGACGAUAACUGACGGUGAGGCGCGAAAGCGUGGGGAGCAAACAGGAUUAGAUACCCCUGUAGUC